rnacentral:rRNA from 1 species
AGAGUUUGAUCAUGGCUCAGGAUGAACGCUAGCUACAGGCUUAACACAUGCAAGUCGAGGGGCAUCAGGAAGAAAGCUUGCUUUCUUUGCUGGCGACCGGCGCACGGGUGAGUAACACGUAUCCAACCUGCCCUUUACUCGGGGAUAGCCUUUCGAAAGAAAGAUUAAUACCCGAUAGCAUAAUGAUUCCGCAUGGUUUCAUUAUUAAAGGAUUCCGGUAAAGGAUGGGGAUGCGUUCCAUUAGGUUGUUGGUGAGGUAACGGCUCACCAAGCCUUCGAUGGAUAGGGGUUCUGAGAGGAAGGUCCCCCACAUUGGAACUGAGACACGGUCCAAACUCCUACGGGAGGCAGCAGUGAGGAAUAUUGGUCAAUGGGCGCUAGCCUGAACCAGCCAAGUAGCGUGAAGGAUGAAGGCUCUAUGGGUCGUAAACUUCUUUUAUAUAAGAAUAAAGUGCAGUAUGUAUACUGUUUUGUAUGUAUUAUAUGAAUAAGGAUCGGCUAACUCCGUGCCAGCAGCCGCGGUAAUACGGAGGAUCCGAGCGUUAUCCGGAUUUAUUGGGUUUAAAGGGAGCGUAGGUGGACUGGUAAGUCAGUUGUGAAAGUUUGCGGCUCAACCGUAAAAUUGCAGUUGAUACUGUCAGUCUUGAGUACAGUAGAGGUGGGCGGAAUUCGUGGUGUAGCGGUGAAAUGCUUAGAUAUCACGAAGAACUCCGAUUGCGAAGGCAGCUCACUGGACUGCAACUGACACUGAUGCUCGAAAGUGUGGGUAUCAAACAGGAUUAGAUACCCUGGUAGUCCACACAGUAAACGAUGAAUACUCGCUGUUUGCGAUAUACAGUAAGCGGCCAAGCGAAAGCAUUAAGUAUUCCACCUGGGGAGUACGCCGGCAACGGUGAAACUCAAAGGAAUUGACGGGGGCCCGCACAAGCGGAGGAACAUGUGGUUUAAUUCGAUGAUACGCGAGGAACCUUACCCGGGCUUAAAUUGCAGUGGAAUGAUGUGGAAACAUGUCAGUGAGCAAUCACCGCUGUGAAGGUGCUGCAUGGUUGUCGUCAGCUCGUGCCGUGAGGUGUCGGCUUAAGUGCCAUAACGAGCGCAACCCUUAUCUUCAGUUACUAACAGGUUAUGCUGAGGACUCUGGAGAGACUGCCGUCGUAAGAUGUGAGGAAGGUGGGGAUGACGUCAAAUCAGCACGGCCCUUACGUCCGGGGCUACACACGUGUUACAAUGGGGGGUACAGAAGGCAGCUAGCGGGUGACCGUAUGCUAAUCCCAAAAGCCUCUCUCAGUUCGGAUCGAAGUCUGCAACCCGACUUCGUGAAGCUGGAUUCGCUAGUAAUCGCGCAUCAGCCACGGCGCGGUGAAUACGUUCCCGGGUCUUGCACUCACCGCCCGU